rnacentral:rRNA from 1 species
GGUGAAAUUCGUAGAUAUUAGAAAGAAUACCAAUUGCGAAGGCAGCUUUCUGGAUCAUUACUGACGCUGAGGAACGAAAGCAUGGGUAGCGAAGAGGAUUAGAUACCCUCGUAGUCCAUGCCGUAAACGAUGUGUGUUAGACGUUGGAAAUUUAUUUUCAGUGUCGCAGCGAAAGCGAUAAACACACCGCCUGGGGAGUACGACCGCAAGGUUAAAACUCAAAUGAAUUGACGGGGACCCGCACAAGUAGUGGAGCAUGUGGUUUAAUUCGAAGAUACGCGAAGAACCUUACCGGCUCUUGACAUACCAAUCGCGGACUUAAGAGAUUAAGUCUUUCACUUCGGGUGGAUUGGAUACAGGUGCUGCAUGGCUGUCGUCAGCUCGUGUCGUGAGAUGUUGGGUUAAGUCCCGCAACGAGCGCAACCCUUACCUUCAAUUGCCAACACAUUAUGGUGGGAACUUUGAAGGAACUGCCAGUGAUAAGCUGGAGGAAGGUGGGGAUGACGUCAAGUCCUCAUGGCCCUUACGUGUUGGGCUACACACGUGCUACAAUGGCAUUUACAAUAGGAAGCAAAACGGCGACGUUAAGCAAAUCCUAAAAAAAUGCCUCAGUUCGGAUUGUACUCUGCAACUCGAGUACAUGAAGCUGGAAUUACUAGUAAUCGCGGAUCAGCGCGCCGCGGUGAAUACGUUCCCG